rnacentral:tRNA from 1 species
CCGCCCGUAGCUCAAUGGUAGUAGCACCGAGCUUAUACCUCGGGGGUUCUUGGUUCGAGUCCAAGCGGGCGGA